GUGAGGGCGACCUGGCUGCAGCAUCUGUCACCCCAUUGAUUGCCAGGGCUGACUCAGCUGAUCUGGCUGGCAAGGUGGGUGUCCCCUUCCCCUCUCAUGUGCAACCCUCCCAAAGCUGCCCGCUCUGAAAAGAUGACCACCCCCAAUAGAGGGGGACUGAUUCCUCCGUCAAGGGUAUACAAGUAGCUGCGCUUCCCUGCUAGCACCUCCAGACAAGCUCUCAAGAUCUGAAAUGGACAGAGUUUAAAAUGUAGUCCUGGAGCCAGAGCCGAGCAUGAUGCCUAUAAUCCCUGCACUUGGGAGGCCGAGGCAGGAGGAUCACUAGG
rnacentral:snRNA from 1 species